rnacentral:rRNA from 1 species
GACGAACGCUGGCGGCGUGCUUAACACAUGCAAGUCGAACGGUAACAGGUCUUCGGAUGCUGACGAGUGGCGAACGGGUGAGUAAUACAUCGGAACGUGCCUAGUAGUGGGGGAUAACUACUCGAAAGAGUGGCUAAUACCGCAUGAGAUCUACGGAUGAAAGCAGGGGAUCGCAAGACCUUGUGCUACUAGAGCGGCCGAUGGCAGAUUAGGUAGUUGGUGGGAUAAAAGCUUACCAAGCCGACGAUCUGUAGCUGGUCUGAGAGGACGAUCAGCCACACUGGGACUGAGACACGGCCCAGACUCCUACGGGAGGCAGCAGUGGGGAAUUUUGGACAAGGGGCGCAAGCCUGAUCCAGCAAUGCCGCGUGCAGGAUGAAGGCCUUCGGGUUGUAAACUGCUUUUGUACGGAACGAAAAGCCCUGGGUUAAUACCCUGGGGUCAUGACGGUACCGUAAGAAUAAGCACCGGCUAACUACGUGCCAGCAGCCGCCGCCGUAA